GGGGCUGUUUAUAGAUUCGCCCGUUAAUUUAGAUGGUGAGAAAAGCAUAUCGUAGAGCAAGCUACGUAAAAAGUGCAAAACAAUUAAAUGCAAACAACAGCAUUUUCAGCAGAAGCAAUUCUGCAGUUUACGCCGCAGCAUAAGUUCUGGGCUCGUCACCUGUGUUUGUUGCAUGGCACAGCAAUGGCGUCAUAUAAUGCAAAUCGCUUGACGGCGAGUGAUUUUGCGUCGGCAAGUUAAAUAAAUAAAAAAUCUUUGCCUUGGGCGUUUUGUUUUUUGAGCAAACAAGGCGAGACCUUUUCAAAAAACUAAGUAUGUAGAAACCUCAUGGUCAAUUGAUGGUACACGGGUGCAAGUCCCGUCAGCUCCACCA
rnacentral:tmRNA from 1 species